CAGACCAGACUAGAUCAUCAUGUUCCUGGAAGUUGAACAUGAAGCAUCCCGUUUAUUUUAACGUUAGACUUCCUUAAUUGUUCCUUACAAAGGCAUUCGCUGCUUUCUUACUGCACUUUACCAUGGAAACUACAUCAGUUCUCCUUCACUCUAAAACAAUUCCAUUCAAUUUCACUAUUUCCAUCAACAACAGAAAAAGGAAACUCUCUUUCCGGCAUCACGACAAACACCUUCAAUCCCAUUUAUCAAAUACCAGUGUACUCUCUGGUCAAAACCUUAAACCCGUAAAAAACCUAUCAAACCCUCCUUUUUCAUUGUAUCUAUCAACUUCAUCUCUGAAAAUAACGGGAAACCACUUGUUAUCUCCUCCCAAAUGCUCAUAUUCCGGCGCUGUAAGCACAGAGGGGCUUCAGACCCACCAAUUUUUAAAACCCUUAAAAAACCUCUCUCUUGAGAAACUGAAAGCUACCCUUUUGCAAUUAACCCCUGUUGAUAUCAUCAAGUGGUCUGCUAUCUUAUCGGCUGCAAUUGCUGCCACAAAAUGGACUGUGAAUUUGGUAAUUAACCCGUUUUUCUGGAUGUAUUUUAGCUGGACAUGGUUGUUUUGGCCAUGGUUUGCGGCUAUAUCACUUGCUGUUUAUGGGUUAUACUGCUUCUAUAAGCAUUCAAUCGGUGAAGCUAGCAUUUUUGAGCAACUUGCAAUUGUUACAUCAGUGUUCACUUGGUUAACUCUAGUCCCUCCUGCCCAUUUCAGUGGAUAUCUACAAGGAUGGCCUUUUGUGUUCUUUUUUGUGUAUCAUUAUUUCUUCUUCUUCAAUGUAAGUGUGAGGAAACGUUUGUAUGGGGAUUAUUAUGCACGUCCGCAUGACCCCAAGUGGGAUUUAAACCCGCCCAGAUGGUGUCGCCUUUUGUUCUGUGUUGGGGUCAUGGCUGGGCACUGGCUUGCAGCUUUUGAAGGGCCAGAGCUGCACCUUAUUCCUGGUGGGUGGAUCAAUGUGGGGAUUUGGAUUUUUAUAUUGGCAACUUUGCUAAUGCAAUAUAAUUCUACAUUUUACCUUGCUAAGUAUUCAGAGAAGGUGGUGGUGCCUUCUGCUGUUGUGCAGUUUGGGCCAUAUAGGUGGGUCCGGCACCCUAUCUAUUCGUCCACAUUGCUUCUCUUUGUGACUUAUUUCAUUGCGCUUCGUGCACCUUUGAGCCUGUUGUUUGUGGUAGCGGUAUGUUUGAUGUAUUAUGCACAGAAGGCAAAAAUGGAGGAGGGUUUAAUGAUCGAGACUUUCGGGGAGAAGUAUCUAGAGUACAUGAGUAAAGUUCAGUACAAGUUCAUUCCUUUGGUUUAUUAGGAUGGCCUCCAGCUAAAGAACACUUCUAUUCUGGACAUUAAAGUAGGUGGGUGUUGGUCUUUGGAGAUCUUCAGCACUCCACAUGGUGCCUUGCUUUGUCAUGUAUGGCCCGUGGCUUUCAAAAAUUUGAGCUCUUAGCCAUUGUCUUUUGCCUAUUGAGUUAUAUAGGGUUGUUUCAAGAAGAGGAUAAAAAAUUAAGUUUUUUUAACAACCCCUGUUAAAGUCUACAGUAAAGUGCUGGCAGAAUGUUCGUUUGUGAUUAUUUGGAUUAUCAAAUGUCUGUCGUUAUUAGAACUUCUGAUGUAGGGUAGGAAAAGGAACAGCAGAUAACUGCAAUCUAAUGGCUAAAAUUGAACAAAAUUGAAGCUGGAACAAGACAAUAAGGCAUAGGGAACAUAAAGAAACAUCUAAAAAUCUGAGUAGAUUGAUAAAUAAAAAAAGAUCAUCUAUUAAACUAACCCCCCAGCAUCCUAUCUAUACUAAUUAAAAUUCUAUAGCUUUUUGUAGGAAAAGGGUUCCCUAGUCUUUUUCAACAAGAAAAAACACUUAACCUCCAAGGAAAUAUUUAAAAGUUAACAUGCUAAUCAUAUGACCCUAAAUUAAUUAAAUAAGCAUUAUUUCAGAAAUAAAAUAAAAACAAUUUCAAAGAAAGCUCCUCCCUCAACUUGAUUGUACUGUUUCCUUUGCUCUUUUUGAUAAACUAAAAGGAACUAGCCACGUGCAUCAAAUGGUAGAAAUAAGGCAAUCAAUAUUUUAGAUCUUUGAGGAUUUUCAGAAGAUGCUUAUCCCAAGUUUAUGUUCCUAAAAAUUUUAAUAACACACAAAAAAAUGGAAGUUUUGGAGUUGGUGUUUCAUCAUUAACAGUCCAAAUGGUAUUUUAGGAGAAAUGUCAUAGAACUUGCAAUCACAAUGAUUUGAAUCCUCUAUUGGUAUGUCUUGUCUAGCAAAGUGUAAGCAUAGAAUGGUGUGGCUAGACCUGCCUGGUGUGCAGUUGUGUUGAACUGAUAGUGUGCCUAAGAGCCUUUAAAUCUCCAAUCUGUUGAAAAUUUGCUUAAACCAAUAAGCCUCUUUUUUUCAUCCUGUAACGUGUCAUCUGAUAUAUCUUCUGGAGAUGACUUGCUUCAAGAGUUCACACUGCCUUGAGGUUAUUGAGAUAUUUAUGUUUGAGUUGGGGGAAAAUGCUUAAUUCUUUUGUUGGGUGUCUUUACUAAUCACACAUUAUAUUAAGAAUGCAAUUGAAAGACAUAGAACCACUGCUUUGGAAGAAUUGUGAUGGUCAGCAAAAGUUUGUGUGAUUAAUACUUUCUGUUUUAAAUUUCGAAGUUCCCUGCUUUCACCAUUUUCUUGCUUAGAGUUUGCAUUAAUCAAAUGCAAUUCAGGUUGAAGUCUCUGUCAGAUAUGCAGCAUUAUAAUGCAGUUUCUUCCACUUGUAUAGAUUACUGAAAUGAAAAUGCCGGGAAUAGUUUAUUCUGCUCUAUUAAACCAGCUGCUAUCCUGGUUGAUAAUGAUGGUUAGUCAAGUCCCUUAAUGAUUUUAAGUGAAGAGCUAAAAUCAAAAUACUUGGAUGAAUUAGUAACAAGACAACAAUGAGCAUUGAAAUUGAUUCUAUCUAUGAGGAACUACAAUCAGCUCCUACCAGUGACGAGACAAGAUGGUAUAGGUUGUCAUAUCUAAGAAUUUCCUUUAUAAUUAAAGAGUCAUUCAUCUCAAGGGUAUUUAUAAGCAAUAUGAUGACGCAACUAUAUUACUGUUAGAAAAUUAAUUGUUCAAUUUGGACACCUUAACGAAGUAAUUUUCCAUCGACAGAGACUUGUGAAGUCUAAAGACAAGUUCAGGUUUCUAGUUUUCUAAUCUGGGCGUUUGCUUUACAAGUUAUUGAGGGAUUUCUUUGGUCAUCAUGUUUAGCUGUUUUCCCAUUUGGGAGUCAUCAUUCAUUUUAAAAGGCUAGUUUAUUUAGCAGUAAUAAUUGUAUUUUGGAAUUCUUGAUGAACAAGGAGUUUACCUAUCUAGAGGUACUUUGCUUAUUAUAAAACAUACUACACAAACUUUUUUGUCAUCAGAUUCAUGGAACGGUAUUGAGAGUUUUUAAGUUGUGUUAUAGACUUGAUGCCUAGGGUUUCCCCCCUUGCUCGUCGAUACCCUAUCUUCUUAUUUAUUCCUUCUCACCUUCUACUUCUACAAAAUCAGAUCAAAUUCUAUCAAAGCAUUGCUAAAUCACGUAUUGACUGUUCAGAUUGAUCCCAAAUCCUAAGUAAAAACUUAAAAUUUCUAUAUUCUUGAAGCUGUCCUGCAUAAGCAACGAAGCACAAAUAUGUAGCAUUAUGAAUGUUAUAUUCAGCUAUAAAUUGUAAAUAAAGUGCGUCCUGCAAUUCUAAAUAAUGAUUCAUUAAUUUUCUCAACUUACUUUUUAUGAGAAAGAUGGUGUCGUGAUAUCAUGCAUGAUGUGUGCAUGUCAAAUCUUUUGUUAUCGAGCACAUGUUGUUAGGAAAUAUAAGUGUUGUUGAAUAUACUUGUUGUCUUCCAUUCUCUGCUUGGAGUUCAGUUCCCUAUUAUCUAACGAGACCUUAUUAGGACAAAUACAUUUCAUUUUUUUCAUUUCGACUGUCCAUUGAAAUUUGAAAGGAUAGAAAUUGUAUGAACCAUUUGUGAUGUAUGAUAAUUUAAAUUUGAUCCUAAUACGAACUUUAACCCCAUCCCUUUAUGACUUGAAUUGAAGUGUACUUGAUUACGGUGCAGUUUAGGUGGCCGCUUGGGGGUUUCCUCUUCCAUAUAGUUAGUUAUGAAGCAUUGUUUUUGGAUAGGAUUCAGCAGUUUAUGAUUUCUGUAGAAACACCAUGGAGCAAAGUUUGUUUAUUUUAGGGUCAUUGACUUUUUAGGAGAAACAUGUGUAUCUCAAUCCAACAGGGACGACUUGUUGUAAGACACAUCUUGAUGCCUACAACACCACGGAGCAAAGUUUAUGCAGUAUAGGUGGAUCCUUAUCUUUUUUAUGAUCUACAAUUCAGCUGGAACUGUUAUGCCACGUGCUGAAGCUGUAGUAUUGUGACGCGGACUGCAUUCUCUUACAAGCCUACAUCUCACGGAAGCUGACCCAAUAUCCCCUAUAAUUUGAUUGGUAUAUAGAUUAACACUUUAAGUUCAGUCCCAGAAAAAGAAAAUCUGGGCAUUGUGGAAGCCAGCUCAUAUGCACAUGAUAAUCAGCUCAUCAUGAUGAGAAGCAUAUCAACUAACACUUGCUUUGCACCACGUUGUAAGCAGGCGGUUGAAAAAUUCAAGAUAGAGCAAGAAAUAUAUCACUUGAAAAUACGCAGGGAUGUCCAGGUUUCCUCACUUGCGUUUAUCACCUUUUGAUCUCUUUUUUAAGUGUACGAUGGGGAGGCUGGCUGGCAUGACUUUUCUAUGUUUUGCGAACGUGUUUCUUGGAAGUUUACCAGUUUCAGUCCCAGCUAUGCGCUAUAAUUUAAGUAUUUUUCUCCAUGUGCUUCCCCGUUUCAGGAAUUUUUAAGUUGGUUCGUACCAAGUGUCAUUUUUAGUCUUGUGAUAGAUGGGAAGGGGCUAUGAUUUUUACAUGUUAUUUGGUACUCACUUCCUUAACGAAAUCUUGUAGCCUUGCUACAUAUGGAAAUAGGGAUAUGGGUUUUACGUA